CCUCCUUUCUAAGGAUAAAGAUAUUUGGUUUGCCAAAUAUCCGGGUUGUUGCCUUCGUAUCUCUUUAAAAAAAUAAUAUUAUAACAUCUAGUGCAGUUUAAUCCUGGGCUAGUAGCUCAGUUGGUUAGAGCGCGCGCUUGAUAAGCGUGAGGUCGGAGGUUCAAGUCCUCCCUGGCCCACCAUAUUGAGAUUAUGGGGGAUUAGCUCAGCUGGGAGAGCGCCUGAUUUGCAUUCAGGAGGUCAGCGGUCCGAUCCCGCUAUCCUCCACCAUAACUGAACUAGAUAAUUUUUAAUAUUUAUAUCACCAUAUAUUUAGAGUUAAUGAAUUAAAGAACACUCUUUGAAAUUGUAAAUAUGUUAAGUUAAUAACUGUCAAUUAAAUUAUUUAAUAACGAUUGUUAAAAUUAUUUUUUAAAAAACGUACAGCUAAAAUUUUUCUCUGUACGUAUAAUUUUGUAAUCAAGCGCAAAAGGGCGUUUAGUGGAUGCCUGGGCAUCAAGAGACGAUUAAGGACGUGGUAGGCUGCGAUAGCUAAGGGGAGUGCCAACAA
rnacentral:misc_RNA from 1 species